CAAAAUGUUAGCAAGCCUGAAGAAACAUGGUUCUGUGAUUUUUGUUUCAUCACCUUCGCUGAUCAGUUUAUUAUUUCUUUAAAUCAGCUAUUAAAAGGAGGACAAUUGGAGUUUUUAUAUACAAUCUUAAUAUAAGUUUUAACACAACGUAACAAAGUCAUCAUCAGUAUUGAUACUGAUUUAUGCUCAAUUAUUUGCUUUACCAACACAGUUCAUAUGGUAAUGGAUAUAAGCUCAGGGCUUUGGAAUCAAUUGAUCAAAGUCCUAUUUUGAACAAUCACCAAUUUCAUUUGCCAUUUCUUAAAAAACUCACCUUAAUUUUAGAACUAUAAAAUUCUGAAAGCUAUGUCUUUGAUUGAGGGCUUUAGUCACACAAAUCAAUGAAUAAAUUGUCAACAUUCUCCCUGCUAGUGUUCAUUUUUGUUUAUCAUAUUUGCAAGACAUCAUGUUAUAUCUUGUUAUCUCCUGGUUCUGGAGUUCUGCUGUCAUGUUGGUGUGGUUUUUACAUGACUUUCUGCAUAUGCAUCUGCCCUUUCAAAUUCUAUAUAUACAUACAUAAGCAUGCAUGCAACAGUUGCAAAUACAUCAUUG
rnacentral:misc_RNA from 1 species